rnacentral:misc_RNA from 1 species
GAUGAAGAACGUAGCGAAAUGCGAUAAGUAGUGUGAAUUGCAGAAUUCAGUGAAUCAUCGAAUCUUUGAACGCACAUUGCGCCUUCUAGUAUUCUGGGAGGCAUGCCUGUUUGAGCGUCAUUAAACCUCUCUCAAGUAUGAUUACUUGGAUGUGAAGGAAGAGUACCUUAAACUUAAGGAGUGUUCUCCUUUGAAAUUGAUUAGCAGAUGGUAAUGUUAUUAAAUCCCUGAUGUUGUAAGAAAUAACAGUGGUUUUGUAGACUAUUAUCUAGCUUUAAAUUAUAAUUUUUAUUAUGGUUGACCUCAAAUCAGGUAAGGAUACCCGCUGAACUUAAGCAUAUCAAUUAGCGGAGGA